GCAGGAGCCGCUCGCCAUUGAUGACCGUUCCCGGUCCUUCUGGUCCGGGAGGGAGAGAGCACAGGCUGAGUGGU
rnacentral:snoRNA from 1 species